rnacentral:rRNA from 1 species
GAUCAUGGCUCAGGAUGAACGCUAGCUACAGGCUUAACACAUGCAAGUCGAGGGGCAGCAUUUUUAUAGCAAUAUAAAAGAUGGCGACCGGCGCACGGGUGAGUAACGCGUAUCCAACCUGCCCAUCACUUGGGAAUAACCUUGCGAAAGUAAGACUAAUGCCCAAUGAUAUCCCACGAAGGCAUCCGAAUGGGAUUAAAGAUUUAUCGGUGAUGGAUGGGGAUGCGU